rnacentral:rRNA from 1 species
AUUGAACGCUGGCGGCAGGCCUAACACAUGCAAGUCGAGCGGAGCGGCGGACGGGUGAGUGAUGCCUAGGACUCUGACUGGUUGUGGGGGAUAACGUACGGAAACGGGCGCUAAUACCGCAUACUCUCAGAUACGCCUAGGUCGGAUUAGAUAGUUGGUGGGGUAAGGGCCUACACAGGCGACGAUCCGUAACUGGUCUGAGAGGAAGACCAGCCACACUGGAACUGAUACACGGGCCAGACUCGUACGUGAGGCAGCAGUGGGGAAUAUUGGACAAUGGGCGAAAGCCUGAUGCAGCCAUGUCGCGGGUGUGAAGAAGGUCUUCGGGUUGUAAAGCACUUUAAGUUGGGAGGCGUUACCAGCAGAAUAAGCACCGGCUAACUUCGUGCCAGCAGCCGCGGUAAUAC